rnacentral:rRNA from 1 species
UACGUAGGGGGCUAGCGUUGUCCGGAAUCAUUGGGCGUAAAGAGCGCGUAGGCGGCCAGAUAAGUCCGGUGUGAAAGUCAAAGGCUCAACCUUUGAAUGCCGCUGGAAACUGUCUGGCUAGAGUCCGGGAGGGGCGAGUGGAAUUCCUGGUGUAGCGGUGAAAUGCGCAGAUAUCAGGAGGAACACCGGUGGCGGAGGCGGCAUCCUGGACCAACACUGACGCUGAGUGAGCGAAAGCCAGGGGAGCAAACGGG